rnacentral:rRNA from 1 species
GUCGCUCAACGGAUAAAAGGUACCCCGGGGAUAACAGGCUGAUCUUCCCCAAGAGUCCAUAUCGACGGGAUGGUUUGGCACCUCGAUGUCGGCUCGUCGCAUCCUGGGGCUGGAGAAGGUCCCAAGGGUCCGGCUGUUCGCCGGUUAAAGCGGCACGCGAGCUGGGUUCAGAACGUCGCGAGACAGUUCGGUCCUCUAUCCUCUGUGGGCGUAGGAGAAUUGCGGGGUUCACUUUCUAGUACGAGAGGACCGAAAGUGACGCACCUCUGGUGUACCAGUUGUUCUGUCAAGGGCAUUGCUGGGUAGCUAAGUGCGGAAGAGAUAAGCGCUGAAAGCAUCUAAGCGCCAAGCUCCUCCCAAGAUGAAUUCUCCCUGAGGAUCGUGGUAGACCACCACGUUGAUAGGCUGGCGGUGUAAGUGCAGCAAUGCAUUCAGCUCACCAGUACUAAUCAUCCGAUUGGCUUGAUUCCUCUCUCU